CGGGGUGUAGCGCAGACAGGUAGCGCACCGCGUUUGGGACGCGGGGGUCGGCGGUUCAAGUCCGCCCACCCCGA
rnacentral:tRNA from 1 species